rnacentral:lncRNA from 1 species
CCAUCUUGAAUGUUGUGUUGUGAGGUGAUAUAUUCUUUAAAUCCAUGGAUACUAUUUACAUAUUGACAAAAAGUGAUAAAUUUACAAUGUUGUAAUUAGUCUUCUUCGCAGUCCUUGAUAAAAUAUAAUGGCACCUGUAGAAGCAGGAAGUGAUGAUCAAAUGUCAAUAACCAAUAUAAAGGGACUAAUUUAUCUUUCCAGGUAAAUGAAGAAAGAAAGCGGAGGAAAACGGGAAAAAGGACUAUUACUGAUUUAGAAAAUCAUUCAAAAGAGGAUGAGGUAUGUGCAACGUAACAGCCAAGUCCGCACCCACUACCUCAAAAGGAGAAGAAUGAACUGAUAUAUAAAUAGAACAAAGGGCGCAAGGAUACCAGAAAUGCCCUCUAACGUUUUUUUGAGAAGUGAAGUGCCUUCUAACAUUAACAAAAGAAAAAUAAACAUGAUGAAUCUUGAAGGAGGAAGAACAAAUAUCUUUUUUUGCUUCUAAUAGGGAGAAGAGGGUAAUGCAAAGUCAAUUUACACCAAUACACAUACUUGUGCCCAACAUCCUUUCUGUGUGCAUCAAUAUCAACACCUCUCUCAGAAGAUUCUUCUUUUUAUACGGUAGACUAUGGCUAAUGAAUAAAAUUGGCAGUCCUUAAUUUUAUUUUACAAUAGUACUUAAGAAAAGAAUUAGCACGCAACUUUAGCAGCUUUGGAGCAACUCAUAGUAUUAUGUCGCAUAACUCUCCCAAAAAGUAAUGAUUAUUUCUUCUGAAAAGAAAGAGUAUGUGGGAGAGUGUCUGCAUAAAGUUGUUGUACGCAAUUUCUUGUUUGAUUUGGUUUUUCCACUAUUGCUAUCUCAAGAAUAUGUAUCAAUUUACUAUUUAGUGAUGUUGUGAAUGAAGAGUAGUUUUAGAUUUUCUCAGUGUGUCUCAAGAUAUAGUUGUAGCAAAACUACUCUGUACCUUAUAUUUCUCUUUUACUUAAUGUUUUCUCCCUUAAUUCCAUGCAGUAAACCUAUCAAUGCUUCUGCGGUCAAUCAUUUAUAAUUUUUGUUUCAUGAAAUUGCCUACAGUAUCGUUAUAUGAUUGAUGGACCAGUCAUAUUGUACUUUUUAUAGGGGCAAAGAAAGGUUUAGAAAAUUAUCCAUUGAAGCAUAUACAUUAUAUUUUUUUUUUGAAGGGUUACGUGUUUGCAUUCUUUCACGAAAGAGCACUCGGUACUGCGGAAUCAUCUAUCUUGUUUUCCUUCUCUCAAUCACUAAAUCCAUCACUAAUUCUCAGAAGAACAAAAGUUUUCUUUAUUAAUCUUCAUUCAAAAUUCCAAAACAUAGAAAGUUAGCUUUUAUAAUAUUCCUUCUAAGUUUUUUUCUUUCCUCUUUGACUUCACAAACGGUACAACUAUUAGUAAGUACUGAGACAAAAAAGAUAACUUUGGCUAACUUAGUACACUAAUCUAGCCUUACAUAUUUAUCAAAAUCACAAUUUUAAAUCGUCCCUUAAUUUAAAAAACUCCGUAAAUUGAAAUUUAGCAUGCUUGAAAAACCUGCAGUAUUUAUAAGUAAUGUUUGCCUCUAAACAGAUGGUACCACCACUCCAAGAUCAAGAUGCUAGGAAGAAAGUUAAAAUUACUCAAGCAAAGAAAUGCAUGCAUCAAAGUUCAUACAACGACUUGAGCUUACUUAAGACUAUUCACAACUCUUCUUUUUAUAUUUUUGGAAUCACACUUAUGUUUAAGCAUGCGAAUUUUAGGAAUAAGCUGAAACUAAUCGAAAAAAAUAAAAGAAUGGGACUUAAUGGAGUCUUUUAAAACUCUACUCCUUUUGUUUCAAAUUUGUUGCUUCUUAACAAACAGAAUAGUUGGAAUCCAGAAAUCAUACGUAUUAACUCCAUUCUUGAAGUCCCCACACCACUUUUUUUCUAGCCUCAAAUGCAAUGUAUUAUCUAAAUUUUACUUCCUUCUCCUUGUAUAGGAUCAAGUAAUAUACUGUUACAGCUAUAGCUAAGCACCAUUAUAAGUCAAUAAGUGAGGAACUUACUACAACUCACAAACCCCGCAUUAUAAUUCAGAAUAAAUUGUCAAGGUCUGAUAAGUAAUUAUGCGUUGCUGUCACACCUCCUUUUUACCCGAAAGGAAUACAAGGGAAUUUUUUUAAUUUAAGUGACAUUAAUCGAAAUGAUAUUAUUUAUUUAUUUCAGACUCGCCACUUGAGAUAUUUAUUAUGGUGUCCUAAGUCACCGGUUUAUUUUAAAUCCCAAAUCGAGAAAAAUCGACUUUAUUUAAAAGUCUGCGAAACCAGAAAACUAGGUAAGGAAUUAUGUUAAUCCGGGAGAAGGUGUUAGGCAUUUUCGGGUUCCGUGGUUCUAGCACGGUCGCAUAACAAUUAAUAAUUGAUCAAAUAAUCUGAUUAAUUACAUAUUUUUUAGACCUAUUGUGCAUUUUUAACAGCUUUUAAUUAUUUAUGGAAUUAUUUCUGGAACAAGUUACGAUUGUCGUACACUUGUUUGUUUUUGUACAUGUCACAAAUUGUGUCACGGGAACCGUACCCAUGACCUACAAUAUGUGUAUUUUAUUAUUGAUCAAAGUUGUGCUCGGGUCACAUAAAAUGUGCACCCGAAUUUGGGGAAUUAGGUAUCACUACUAUGCCACAGGAACCAUACCCAUAGCCGUGAUGAUUCAUUUAACAAUCGUGCCUAAAGCAAACUAGUAUUCAUAUGAUCAUUUUUUCUAAGGUUUGAAGUCAAGUGAACGUCAAAGAACUAUGAAAAGGAGUCGGGUAAAGUGUGAGUUCUGUUAAUGUGGACACAAGAUCUAAAUAUGUUUUUUCUUGGAGUCAAUGAUGUCACUACAAGUUAAUGAACCAUUUUGACAAAUUGGGCCAAGGUCGAUUGGAUCCAACAUUAUUUAAAGAAAACUAGUGAUUACUUAAUAAAAUUUUGACAAAAGGCUAAACUAAAAAAAAUAUUUGUAUUGCAUAGAAGGGUUGGAAAGAGUUCAAACAACACAUCGGAAUCUCAAAAUCCUUGCCAAAUAUAGGCGUGCACAAAUCCAGGCAUCAGCGAUUUUCAAAACCAUUAUACUAGCUACUUAAGUCACAUUUCAUGAACAAACAACAUAUACUAAACUGGGGCAUCUCAAGUUAAUAUGUACUGGUCUUAGACGUGUUUAAACGAAAUGGACCCAGUUUUCAAACUCUGAACAAGAAACAUUUGGGUUGCUGUAAAGAAAAGAGCUGAGACAACUAUGAUUUAAACUAAGUAUGAAUACAUUUAUACACUACCAAUAAUAAAUGGCUUCAUUACAUUUUUACAAAUAAUUACAAGCCUUGAACUAAAUUAAUAAAAGUAAUCUGUAUAGGAUGGAAUCAAAUUGAUUUUGAAUCUGCCUAGUGAUCAACUUAGCAACAAAUUUCGCCAUGUUCUUGAAGUUGCCUAUCAUUCACAAAAGGCUAACCAACCAGUGGCUAGAUUUGUAGAUCUAAGCCUCGUGCCAAGCACUCACAAACUCAUGCAUUACCAAAUGCCAACAAUACCAAAACAAAGUGAUUUCAAAUGGGGAGGGCUUUACACAAAAGAAAAUGCAGCCAAACUUCUGAAAUCUCAAACAUUUAGGGAAUUUUUAGAACUUCAAGUAUACUUUGAUAGUCAAAGCUAAAAGAAAGAACUUAUUUUAAUGCAUUGUUUCCUAUUUCAUUAAGGUUUGAGACAUUCUGAUGUUUUAAAUUAAAAACUUAAACUCAUAAUCAAACAUGAAAGCAAAGAGCAUCCAGUAUACAUGAAGUGAACAAAUAGCUGAAAUCUCAAAGCCAUGUAACAUUCAAAUACCAACUUUAUUAUCAGGAAAAAACUAUCAUUACAUACCUUACUAUCAGCAAAGAAAAGGAAAUAAAAAGAUGAAUAAAAGCUAGAAGAAACAACAGCCAGAAUAUAGCAGGAGCAACAGAGCAGCAACCAAAAAUCCAGAAUAUUUGACUAAACCAACUUUUAACAGCAGAGAUGAUGAACAAGGGAAACAUGGAGGUAUUUCUGUUUUCAAAUCCCUUGAAAACUUAGAAAAAGAAGGAAAAUCAAUGUGAAAAUCCAAACUCAUUUCCCAUAAUUCUUUGUAUUUCAGAGAUGUCUUUUUUUUAUGUUGCCUAUGCUGAUGAUGAUGUGUGUGAGAAUGAGUGAAAGUCUAUUCUUUUAUAGAGUGUACCAAAACAGCAUCAAAAGAAUAUUCUGCCCUAAAUUCCCUAGAUAGUACAACAUAUUUUGACAGAGAAUAAUGGAUAGCUGUCCAGUUUUCAC